AUAUCAAAAGAAAGAGUGUAAUAGAUGUAAGAAAAGUGUCCUCAUGCUUUCUGUCUGUCUUUGGCAGCCCAGAUUGAAUGGGGGAAUGCAGAG
ensembl:snoRNA